rnacentral:rRNA from 1 species
UACGUAGGGUGCAAGCGUUGUCCGGAAUUAUUGGGCGUAAAGAGCUCGUAGGCGGUCUGUCGCGUCGGCUGUGAAAACCCGGGGCUCAACCCCGGGCCUGCAGUCGAUACGGGCAGACUAGAGUGCGGUAGGGGAGACUGGAAUUCCUGGUGUAGCGGUGAAAUGCGCAGAUAUCAGGAGGAACACCGGUGGCGAAGGCGGGUCUCUGGGCCGUAACUGACGCUGAGGAGCGAAAGCAUGGGUAGCGAACAGG